rnacentral:lncRNA from 1 species
GGGAGAUGAGUUAGGUAGAGUAGAAUGGAAGGGAAUGACUGGGAAUAUUAGCCUUUGUCCAGAAGCAUGUGUCCAGUUUAUGCAACUACAAUAAUUCCUUUCUUUUCAUUAUCUCUGUUUAACAACAUGGUGAAAAACAACAAGCAUAAGAGCAAAAAUAUCAAUUUGGCCCAUUCAUGGAAAAAUAUGUACACCUUUUGGCCCUACAAACAAAGUUAUAAUAAUUUAGUUAGGUGCAAGUUAUUCCCCACUGUAGCCUGCACUUAUCAAGGGCUCUUGUCACUUACCCUUUUCAUCUCUCACAGCUGCUUUUUGGGCUUUGUGCACCUUCUUGUGAAAAAGAAUGGUAAAUACAACUUGUGAAACAUUCCCUGCAUAAAAAACUGAAAUCUUUAUACUAGUUAGGUUGCACGUAGACAGAGCUUAGGAUCACGAAUUGUCUGAUGCAUCAGUCACUUGGAUGAAUAAUUAUAAUUGUUGGGAUGGGCGUGGCGGUGCAGCAACUGCAAUGAAGAAUUUCCAAAUGUGAGAUUCUGAAGGAUAAUCAACUUUCAGAUAUUCGAGUAGUAUAAACAAAGGUCAAGCAACUUGGUAAUUUAAACAAUAUAAGAGAAGUCAAAUCAAAUAAAUAAGCACUUUGAUUGUAUCUUGAACAUGUAAAAACGCCAUAUGAGGGAAGAAACAUAGAUGGUAACUACCUCCCCCACUUCCCAACGGAGAAAAUGAAAGAAUAUUCAACUUGCAUUAUAACAAAUUUUCCAUUAACUAACAUUACUUGUGAUCAUACUAAAAGAAUAGUCUCACAGAAAGGUAGUAGAUGAAGCUCCUGCUUCAAAAAUGUUCCCCAUUAACCUAACAGUUGUAAGAUCACAUAUUUCUAGGGAAACAUAGAAAAAUCAUCACAGAAAUUGGAGUUCAUGCUAGUUUACACUGGUUUUUGUAUAUUAUACUUCCGUUAAAAAAAGAAAUCAGGGGACACACAUGUACACGCUGAAAGUAUCAAAGCCCAUCAGAAAAGGUUUACUACUCAAUGUGUAUACUGUAUAGUACAUUAUUGAUACCAGCAUACCAGAAUAUCUAGUGCUAGACCUCCAAAAGGCCUUCCAGAAGCUGGUGAUCCUCUCUCCAAAGUAUUUCAUCAACUGUUUUCCCAGGGGAGCAUAAAUGUGUUUACAUCAAAAUACCCUCUGGUUUCGAUUUGUGCUUUUGAACAUGUCUCUUCGUUUACUAGUUACACGCUUACACCAUAUUUGAAUUCUUUCUUGAGCACUUCUACCGCUUGAAAUGUUGCGUCUUGAGUUCCCACAGAAUGACUUCAGGCUAUCACUACAGGAAGAGUAUUAAUGCUUGCUAAAUGACUGUCUACUUCAUCACGAUAAGACAAGGCAUUCUUCUGAAUAAUGACACAGCAGAGUUGAUGGCAACCCUAUAAUCUUGCUUGCAUGAAGCCCAGAAAACUACUUAACGGCAACCUCUUGCUCAUCG